AUUAUGGUGUUUAUCACAGCUGUAGAAGUAUAGAUCACUUUUUCGAAGAAUGCCACCAAAAACUACGUUGUCGAUGGUGUGUAGAAGGAAUCCAAAAAUGCUUUGAGGUUCAAAAGGAGGGCAAUAACAAUGGUCGACUAUUCAAAACCUACAGUAAUGAUUGCAGAUUUUUUAACUGGGUAAAAGAAGAAGGAAACGGCGAGUCAAGUACCAUUAAGGACACAAUAAAUCCUACUGUGAACGAGGAAGUGAACGAGUUGCAAAAUAUGUUCGAAAGUCUAGCUCGAAUAGCCGAGAACCGAAACGUCGAGGUUUCAUUUAAUGUGACACUUCGCAAAGGAAAAGAGCCCUCGGAAGAUAAUGGAAAACGAAAGGGGUCGGCAUAAUGUGGUGUUAUACUCGAUGUUGCAGUCUUCUCUUUAGUGUGUCUUUAGUUUGUUGGGCUAAUUGCUAGCUUCUUAAUUGAUGUAGAAUGGUGUAAUCUGCUUUAGUUUUGUAAUCAUUAGAUUUGCAACUAUUUUAGUUUUGAAUGAGGAAGACUUUAUGGUUCAUACUGUUGCUAUGAGUUGCUUCUAUGUGAACUGCAAAUUUCAGUCUUAAUCUUCAUUCCUAAAGACAGAUUGAGGAGAAAAUAUAGAAACUAUUAAGAUUCAUUUUAGGUAACAUGUUGACAACGGUUAAACCCAUAUUAAGGUGAGAAUGACAAAAAUACUAAUAUCAAACAAAAACUGAAUUUAGACCACUACAUUCAAGGGGGGGCGGGGGGGACAAAAUGAAUCAGACUGUAAACCAAAUGUGCAUAAUAGAUCUAUGAAAUUAAACCUAAAGAAACCAAAUUCCUGAAUUUACAUCAUAAACCGCAUAACAAAUCAACAUAACAAAAGAUCCAGUCUUGAGAUAUUUUAUAGGCAUAGUGCCAAAUUGUCAUUUACAAAUGCUUGAAUAUCAAUCAUAGUACAGUGGUAGUCGAGAUAUGAAUAACUAAUGAGGUCAAGAAUGUACCCUUCCUUCCUAGUGGAAAUGGACCAAGACAAAUUUACAGAAUUAUCCCCACAAACAAAAAUAGAAACAUUUCGCUCUUAGGCAUUUUUUUUUACUCCGCGAAAUAAAAAAUGUCCCAAAAAUCCUAACAUGAUAGACAGCAAAGAACGAAUAGCAAAAGUCCAAAAAUUCUUCAUCCAUUGUUCAUAUGCCUGGACCACCUUCUUGUGGGAAAUGUGGAUAGUUAACUGUAUGGAAUCGAACGACCUGUCGUAUAAUACGAACAUAAGUACACUUAUAAAAUGUACACUAAUGCAAAUGUGAAGAUUUAAACGUGUGCAAACCUUGAUCGUUGAAUAUGACAUUUGUUGAUGUUGGGGGACCAAACUUGAGGCUGGCCAGUGUUGCGAGAAGGUAAGACUUUCUACAUCACCCUACAUCGUAUAAAAAUGAAAUUAAAAUUUUGAACAAAUCAUUAUAAUAAACUAAGUGUACUAACCAACAGUAGUUGUGAAUACGAAAACGAUGUCUGCAUAGAAUAUUGUUGAGAUGCUUGGACGACGGGUGCAGACGGUGUAUCACUAUGCCUGGAUGUUGGUCCAUUUCCUCUAGUCGAGGGCAAUGUAGCCUACAAAUAUGGUUCAUGUUACAUACUAAUUUUAAUGAAAUACUUUUUAAGUUGACAAAAAUCAUGACAAUGAUACCUUUGCCUUUUUCGAAGAUGUCUCCAAGUCGGCCUUUUCUCUGAAGCUUCUUAGGAGCGCCCUUUCUUCUUGUCGAUAUAGGAUCCCUUAUGGCAUUGUUUUCAGAUUCAUUACACUGCGAGGCUAACUGAAUAUCGUGAUGUAAAAUGCGAUUACUUUCGGAGCCUAAUUUUAUUGUCAUCAACUCUUCCUUUUGAUUAUUUAUCCACUCCUUGAUCGUAUAGCAGCAUCCUUAUCAUUAGCUGCUAGGUUUGCAACCUCGACAAAAGCCUGACAUAUAUCGUUAUAUCUCAACUGUUCAGGCAUAGAUACCAACCCGGCAUAAUUCAAUGCAACCUUGGUGUGUGCUCUACAAACCUCUCUCCUCCAUCUUCGUAGUAUAUACCUAUCUGGAAGAGACGUGACAUCAUUACAGAUCAAGACUACGAUAGCAUGAUGGCACAAAAUUCCUUGAAACUCAAACAAAUGACAACUACAAACAAUUUCGCAAUUAUCUCAUUCAAAUGACACGAAAAACUUUUUGAUCUUUCGUCUAUAAUCAACCAUUACAAACUCCCGUAUUUCAUAGGUUAUGCAUGAAGUGCCUUUCGUAGUAGACAUGAUGUCACAAUAAACUUUCCCUAUAAGCUCAGGUUGAACUUCUCUGAACUUCGAAAUGGUGUAACAGUUUUGAUAUUGCUUCUCCAUUUCAAACAUUGUUGUGCAUGGUACCAUUUGGGAGUAUGACUUGAAGUCGGCCUGGAACUCCUUCUUUACCUUAUUCCUUAGUACCUGUUUAUACUGUUUGACAAAUUGCUUCAACGAGGUCUUCGAAUGAACAUACCCAUCAAAGAAUGCGUUCAUACUCUCACUUCCCUGAGUCGUCGACAUCCCAGCCCAAAAUGUAGUUUUCAAGUAGCAAGGAACCCAACACCUAUAUUAUCAAAUAGUCCCGACAACCACUCAUUACUGUGCAACCCAUAUGUGUCAAUCAUCGCCCUCCAACCUUCUUCAAAUUCUUCCACGAACUGUGAAUCAUAAACCAAUGCAUGUAUGGUAGAAAAAAUGGAAGCCUUAUCGACGUGGUAUCCAAACUUUUCGGACAACUUCUUGAGAAUAUGCCACAAGCACCAUUUAUGCUUCGUAUUAGGAAAAAAAGGUCGACUAUUCAAAACCUACAGUAAUGAUUGCAGAUUUUUUAACUGGGUAAAAGAAGAAGGAAACGGCGAGUCAAGUACCAUUAAGGACACAAUAAAUCCUACUGUGAACGAGGAAGUGAACGAGUUGCAAAAUAUGUUCGAAAGUCUAGCUCGAAUAGCCGAGAACCGAAACGUCGAGGUUUCAUUUAAUGUGACACUUCGCAAAGGAAAAGAGCCCUCGGAAGAUAAUGGAAAACGAAAGGGGUCGGCAUAAUGUGGUGUUAUACUCGAUGUUGCAGUCUUCUCUUUAGUGUGUCUUUAGUUUGUUGGGCUAAUUGCUAGCUUCUUAAUUGAUGUAGAAUGGUGUAAUCUGCUUUAGUUUUGUAAUCAUUAGAUUUGCAACUAUUUUAGUUUUGAAUGAGGAAGACUUUAUGGUUCAUACUGUUGCUAUGAGUUGCUUCUAUGUGAACUGCAAAUUUCAG
rnacentral:lncRNA from 1 species